AACCAGCUCUUCAAGUGAUCGGGACUAUUACUGGGUUUAAAGGGCGCGUAGGCGGGCGGAUAAGUCUGUGGUGAAAUCUCUGAGCUUAACUCGGAAACUGCCAUGGAUACUAUUUGUCUUGAAUGUUGUGGAGGUGAGCGGAAUAUGUCAUGUAGCGGUGAAAUGCUUAGAUAUGACAUAGAACACCAAUUGCGAAGGCAGCUCACUACACAAAUAUUGACGCUGAGGCACGAAAGCGUGGGGAUCAAACAGGAUUAGAUACCCUGGUAGUCCACGCCCUAAACGAUGGAUACUCGACAUACGCGAUACACAGUGUGUGUCUGAGCGAAAGCAUUAAGUAUCCCACCUGGGAAGUACGAUCGCAAGAUUGAA
rnacentral:rRNA from 1 species